UACGAGGGGUGCAAGCGUUAUUCGGAAUAACUGGGCGUAAAGAGUGCGUAGAUGGUAUAUUAAGUCUGUUGUUAAAUCUUCCGACUCAACCGGAAACAUGCAAUGGAAACUGAUAUGCUAGAGGAUGGAAGAGAGAAGUGGAAUUCUCGGAGUAGCGGUAAAAUGCGUAGAUCUCGAGAGGAACACCAAUGGCGAAGGCAGCUUCUUGGUCCAUUCCUGACGUUGAGGUACGAAAGCGUGGGGAGCAAACAGG
rnacentral:rRNA from 1 species